CUAAAAUCCUUUUGGGAGUGAAAAGGUUUCAGUUCAAUUGUUUUUUUUUGUAUGUGGUGUGUUUUCUGUUUUUUCCUUGGUUUGUUUUGGACAUGAAAUAGAAAUACUAUAUUGGUUUGAGAAGAGGUUAAAAACAGCAUGAGAACAAACCACAAGAAGUAGGAAGUAGCACAAGUUUAGUGAGAACAAAGUUUUGUAGCUGCAGUGUUCCCAGAAAUAGGGAUAUUUGUUUUCCUCUCUGGACUUUUCCUCAGACGUUCUCCCUGCAGCCACGUUUGGACUGCGGUGACGCAGGGAACUAACAAAGCCCUGUAGUGAGCUCCCACUUUCUAGUAGUUCUUAAUAUUGAAAAACUGCGUGGAGAAGGAUUUGGGUGCUCAGAAAUAUUUUUUUUUUUUUUUUUUAACUGCAUCAAACUACGGUUGAAGCAAUAGCUGUUAGUGAGCACUGUGCAGCCUCCUCUUCUUGCAUGAAAAUAGAUGAUUGAGAUCCAGCGCAGUUUUACCUCUGAUUUAUGGUUUUUGCUCAAAUUUACCAUGUAAAUAUGCAACGUGCAAGCCCAGAAGGGCUAAUUUGAGAAAUGGAGGGCUGCCUUCUCUGUGAAGCAGUGAUUUUGGACAGGAUGGAGCCUGGCUAGCUUUGGCUUGAGGUCACACAAACUCAUUUGGUUGCUGAUACUGCUUCAGUGCCUCCCUCUGAAUUUGUCCUGAGGGAUGGAGGAGUUCUCCUGCAAUAGCUGGGAUUGAGGAGACCAAAAUAAUAAUAAAGAUUUGCCAAAGCAUCUUAAGACAAAGAACCCAGAAAGAUGCUGCAAACCAGAGCUGGCUGAGUAAAGAGGGCACAGAAUAGGGCUUUAUUACAAAUAACUGUUAUGAAGUUAGAAUGAUACUUGUGGAUGGACUCAGCAUUUGCCUGGUCUGAUCAGCCACUGUGAACGUACCGUGGAGCCCGGAGUUACCGUUGGGUUAAGGUUAGCGCAGUUGCUUUAUGGAAGGUUAUUGUGGCCAUGUUUGGAAAUAAAAUAGGAACCUCAUGCUGAAAUAAACUGGGGUUGGGGGAACGGAGGUUGCAAACUUUGAACUUGAGGGUAAAUGUAAUCUGGACUAUUUCAAUUCUCUCAAUCAAGGUGCAGGAAGACACAAGGACAACUCAGGCCCUGGAGCUUUAGUCCCGUUGCAAGAGUUGAGCAGGAGAAGUGAUCUGGGAAAUGACUUGCCUUGGACAUGUGUGCUAUCUUCAGAUGGUGUAGAUGAUCUGAAUUCCCAUGCCUUGGAGACCACCACACGGAAGAGAGACCUGCUGUGGGACAGGACAUUUGGGAAGAGUGUGUGGCAUGCUGACAGCCCAGCACAAAGAGAGAGUGUGUCCCUUGCUGCCACCAAACCGCUCCAAGAAGCCCAGUGAAAUGGAGCAGCCUCUCUCCUGCAACCCACACUCUCUGGGGUGACUUCGUCCAGCAGACUUGUCUUCUGCUUCCCGUGACCAGAUGCGUUGCGUACUGCAGUGUAAUACUGACGGACUGAGCUGGCAGAGAACAAGCAUCUUAAACAGACUGUUCUCCAAAGUCCACAGUUGAAGAAACUGCAAUGAGAUUAAGUUCACUGGUUAAAAUUUUUGUGGAGAAUCCUCAGUUAUUCGUCCUGAUGAGAAGGAGGAAGGGUGAUAGUUUCCUGUAGUGGAAUAAAAUGCUUUUGUUAACCACUGAAAGCAACACAUAUAAGAGAAAUGAGGAUUGGAGGGAAUGAGAUCAGGGAAAUCAUCAUUUCUUGUCUGUGUAUGUCAAGUUCACUUUGCUUAGCGUAGCAGCUCUCCUGGUGAACAUCACAGGGUUUUCUGAGGGAUGGAGCUGAGCAAAAAUAAUAUGUCCUGGUAUUUAGUCCACUUUGCUUUGUUAUAUUCUAAUGCUCUCUAAGGAGAGGUGGUGGUGAGGACUCCUUGGCAGGGCAAGGCAAAACCAUGGGGGGGCACUGUAUGGAACCAAACACAAACUUGCUGCGGGUCACGGGGAUGCCAUGGUUGGUGUCCUGGUGAUCAUUACAUUUCCACGGUUGUCAUCCAGCUUACUUCUCAGAGGGUGAUGUAAAAUGCUGGUGGAAGAGGAAAAUUAAAACCUCUUAUUUAUGAAGAAGUGCGGAUGAGCACCCGUGGUGGAGGAGGACUGAUUCUGACUCUUGCAUAGAUGAUGUGUCUCCCAUACUCUGCUUUUUCAGGUGGACAUUCAUGAUAGAGCCUCUAAGCAUGGAAGACUCUUGCUGAAGCAAGGAAGUCUGUACUGGAUCUGAGUGACUAGGAGAUCAUCCACCGAUGGUCAACUUUGAUUCGGUACUAAGCAGCCAGUCUAAAAACCACAAGGGAGUGCUUUUGUGUUGGAAAAUGUGUCAUGCUCGCCAAGCUGUUCACAGAAUCAACUAGGUUGGAAAGGACCUUGAAGAUCAUCCAGUCCAACCGUUAACCCAGCACUGACAGUUCCCAGCUCCCCCAGAUCCCUCAGCGCUGUGUCGAUCCUACUCUUAAACACCUCCAGGGAGAGAUAAUGGGAAGCAUUAUGUUCAGAUAAUGGGAAGCACAGCUGAGAAACCUGCGGCUUCCAGGUCAGGUAGGAUGCAGAACUUCUUUUUGUGAAGCCUCUGGAAAAAAACCACGGAUGGCUGUAGUGGACCAAUGUCUUGCCUCUCAUCAGGACCCAUCCCACUACCCUGUUUCAUGAGCUGACCCAACAGUGCUGUGUGCUGUGAGCUUCUCCCCAGCACGUGGGCAUAUAUAAUAAUGUUAUAAAACUUUUCCACUGGCAAAAAUACAAGGUGAGGGGUGUUUUUUUGUGUGUGUGAAAUUUCUCUCUCUCCUCUAUUAGUGUUUUGCUUAUCUUCAGGCCUUUCUUCUCAAAUACCAGCAGAUUGCUGACCAGCUUCCCUUCUUCAGGGAAAACAUGUCUUUGUGGUGAAGAUCACAUCAUCUGGGUGAGAUGGUCUCUAUGACCCCAGGCAAAUAAAUCACUUGCUUUGUUCUUUGACUUGGCUCUCCAAGCAUUUGGCCAUCUCCCCGCUCCACAGGCUAGCGUAAGGAUAAAAUCCAUUUGUGAUUCCGAGUUGCUUAGAUACUGUGUGGACU